rnacentral:rRNA from 1 species
GACGAACGCUGGCGGCGUGCCUAAUACAUGCAAGUCGAACGCAGUGGGGACGGGUGAGUAACACGUGGGUAACCUCCCAUCAGAGGGGAUAACACUUGGAAACAGGUGCUAAACCGAUACUGAUGGAUGGACCCGCGGUGCAUUAGCUAGUGGGUGAGGUAACGGCUCACCAAGGCCACGAUGCAUAGCUGACCUGAGAGGUGGACCGGCCACACUGGAACUGAGACACGGCCAAGACUCCUACGGGAGGAAGCAUAAGGGAAGCGUCGGCAAUGGACGAAAGUCUGACGGGGAAACGCCGCGUGAGUGAAGAAGGUUUGCGGAUCGUAAAACUCUGUUGGUGGAGAAGGGGUAUCUAACAAGAAAGCAACGGCUAACUACGUGCCAGCAGCCGCGGUAAUAC